UAUUAGGUUCUUCACAACAGGUGGCCCAAGUAUUGGAGCUUCAGCUUCAGCAUCAGUCUUACCAAUGAAUAUUCAGGAUUGAUUUUUUUUUGGAUUGACUGGUUUGAUCUCCUUGCAGUCCCAGGGAUUCUCAAGAGUCUUCUCCAGAACCACAAUUCAAAAGC